GUGGUCGUAGCUCAAUUUGGAUAGAGCGUCGGAUUUCGGUCCCGAAGGUUGUGGGUUCAAUUCCCGCCGACCAUA
rnacentral:tRNA from 1 species